AUCAGGGUGACUGAGAGGUUAAAGGUGUGGGACUUCAUAUCCAAUGGACAUAUGUCUGUGUGGGUUUAAACCCCAUUCCUGAUA
rnacentral:tRNA from 1 species